AGCAGCCGCGGUAAUUCCAGCUCCAAUAGCGUAUAUUAAAGUUGUUGCAGUUAAAAAGCUCGUAGUUGAAUUUCGGGAUCAAUUAAUUGGUCGUGCCUCUGGUACGUACUGAUUUUAUUGGUUUCUCCCUUCUGACGAACCAUGAUGUCAUUAAUUUGGUGUCGUGAAGAAUCAGGACUGUUACUUUGAAAAAUUAGAGUGUUUAAAGCAAGCUAACGCUUGAAUACACUAGCAUGGAAUAAUGAAAUAGGACGUUUGAUUCUAUUUUGUUGGUUUCUAGGAUCGACGUAAUGAUUAAUAGGGAUAGUUGGGGGCAUUAGUAUUCAAUUGUCAGAGGUGAAAUUCUUGGAUUUAUUGAAGACUAACUACUGCGAAAGCAUUUGCCAAGGAUGUUUUCAUUAAUCAAGAACGAAAGUUAGGGGAUCGAAGACGAUCAGAUACCGUCGUAGUCUUAACCAUAAACUAUGCCGACUAGGGAUCGG
rnacentral:rRNA from 1 species